GUGGGGGAUAUUGCACAAUGGAGGAAACUCUGAUGCAGCGACGCCGCGUGAGUGAAGAAGUAUUUCGGUAUGUAAAGCUCUAUCAGCAGGGAAGAUAAUGACAGUACCUGACUAAGAAGCCCCGGCUAACUACGUGCCAGCAGCCGCGGUAAUACGUAGGGGGCAAGCGUUAUCCGGAUUUACUGGGUGUAAAGGGAGCGUAGACGGAAUGGCAAGUCUGAAGUGAAAUCCUGCGGCUUAACUGCAGAAUUGCUUUGGAAACUGUCAAUCUGGAGUGUUGCAGAGGUAAGCGGAAGUCCUGGUGUAGCGGUGAAAUGCGUAGAUAUCAGGAAGAACACCGGAGGCGAAGGCGGCUUACUGGACAAUAACUGACGUUGAGGCUCGAAAGCGUGGGAAGCAAACAGGAUUAGAUACCCCGGUAGUCC
rnacentral:rRNA from 1 species